rnacentral:tRNA from 1 species
GGGGGUGUAGUGUCAAUGGCUAGCACGUCUGCCUCCAGAGCAGAAAGUUAGGGUUCGAGUCCUUACACCCCUGCCA